CCACAUUUCCUGUUCUGUAGGAAAAAAACACAAGAAAAAUACAACUGCAGGCUCUCAGGCUGGGAUACCACGCAGCAAGCAGAAGAUCAUUACCACCAGCACAGCUUUUCUUAGCAUCAAACUGGGCUAAUCGACCUGUGUGGUAAAGAACAUGCUUCCACAGAAAUGAGUAUUUGUUCUGCUUUGCUUUGUUUUUAAUAAAAAUAAAACAACAGUUUA